rnacentral:rRNA from 1 species
GGGGAAUCUUGGACAAUGGGCGCAAGCCUGAUCCAGCCAUGCCGCGUGGAUGAUGAAGGCCCUAGGGUUGUAAAAUCCUUUCGUCAGGGACGAUAAUGACGGUACCUGAAGAAGAAGCCCCGGCUAACUUCGUGCCAGCAGCCGCGGUAAUACGAAGGGGGCUAGCGUUGUUCGGAAUUACUGGGCGUAAAGCGCAUGUAGGCGGGUCGUUAAGUCGGGGGUGAAAGCCCAGAGCUCAACUCUGGAACUGCCUUCGAUACUGGCGACCUGGACCCAAGGAGAGGCGAGUGGAAUUGCGAGUGUAGAGGUGAAAUUCGUAGAUAUUCGCAGGAACACCAGUGGCGAAGGCGACUCGCUGGACUUGUGGUGACGCUGAGAUGCGAAAGCGUGGGGAGCAAAC